UGAAGCGGCAACAGCUCAAAUUUGAAAUCUGGNCCCUCGGGGCCCGAGUUUGUAAUUUGCAGAGGAAACUUUUGGCAAGGAGCCUUCCGAGUUCCCUGGAACGGGACGCCGCAGAGGGUAACAGCCCCGUACGGUCGGACUCCGAGCCUCUGUAAAGUUCCUUCGACGAGUCGAGUAGUUUGGGAAUGCUGCUCUAAAUGGGAGGUAAACCCCUUCUAAAGCUAAAUACUGGCCAGAGACCGAUAGCGCACAAGUAGAGUGAUCGAAAGAUGAAAAGCACUUUGAAAAGAGAGUUAAACAGCACGUGAAAUUGUUAAAAGGGAAGCGCUUGUGACCANACUUGUGCCCGGCGGUUCAGCCGUCCUUCUGGGCGGUGCAUUCCGUCGGCUCAGGCCAGCAUCAGUUCGCGGCGGGGGAGAAAAUCAGCGGGAACGUGGCUCUUCGGAGUGUUAUAGCCCGCUGUAAUACCCUGCUACGGACUGAGGUUCGCGCAUCUGCAUGGAUGCCGGCGUAAUGGUUAUCAGCGACCCGUCUUGAAACACGGACCAAGGAGUCGUCCUAGUAUGCGAGUGUUAGGGUGUAAAACCCCCUACGCGAAAUAAAAGUGAACGGAGGUGAGAGCUUCGGCGCAUCAUCGACCGAUCCUGAUGUCUUCGGAUGGAUUUGAGUAUGAGCAUAUUGGGCCGGACCCGAAAGAAGGUGAACUAUGCUUGUAUAGGGUGAAGUCAGAGGAAACUCUGAUGGAGGCUCGCAGCGGUUCUGACGUGCAAAUCGAUCGUCAAAUAUGAGCAUGGGGGCGAAAGACUAAUCGAACCUUCUAGUAGCUGGUUUCCGUCGAAGUUUCCCUCAGGAUAGCAGUGUUGAUCUUCAGUUUUAUGAGGUAAAGCGAAUGAUUAGGGAAUCGGGGGCGCUAUUUAGCCUUCAUCCAUUCUCAAACUUUAAAUAUGUAAGAAGCCCUCGUUUCUUCAGUGAACGUGGGCAUUCGAAUGUGCAACACUAGUGGGCCAUUUUUGGUAAGCAGAACUGGCGAUGCGGGAUGAACCGAUCGCGGGGAUAAGGUGCCGGAGUGGACGCUCAUCUGAUACCACAAAAGGUGUUAUCACAUCUAGACAGCAGGACGGUGGCCAUGGAAGUCGGAAUCCGCUAAGGACUGUGUAACAACUCACCUGCCGAAUGUGAUAGCCCUGAAAAUGGAUGGCGCUCAAGCGUCCCACCCAUACCCCGCCCUCAGGGUAGACACUAUGCCCCUG
rnacentral:rRNA from 1 species